rnacentral:lncRNA from 1 species
UGUGCAGUCCACUUGGUACCCAUUACCUCUACAACUAUAAGAGAUGCCUGAAUUCUUCCUUGGCGUUUUGGUACGAAAAUCAACCACAAACAAUCAAUUAGUUUUUGAAGCACUACCAAAUGGAAAUUAUGAAUUACAUAAACAAUGUAUAAAAUACAAUCAACAUACUACUCUGAAAUAUGGAUUCCACCUCUGAGAUAUUAUAUAGAAUCAAACUCAGAUAUUUUAUGAAAUAAAAGACUGGAUUUGCAUAACAACCACGAAACUGACAAAAAGAAGAUGAAAUUCUGGUAUUACUUGAAUGGGGUUAGAUGGUUGUCAUUGUAUUUUUUAGGUUGCCAAGCUGAUUUAGCGACAGUAGGAAUUGAGGAGAUUAUCGACCAAUUUGAUGCUUUUCAAUGGAAAGGCAAAUGCUUGGGGAUUGCAACAGGGGUCCGGUUUGUCUGCCUACAACCUUUGAUGUAGAAGAUUGUAGCGGUGGAGAAUUUGGCUUAAUCAAGGGUUUUUAAUGCUGGCUUCGAAGAUGCACAAAUUUGGGGAAGAUAACCUGAUGAGGCUGGGUUGUGAGGUGCUACCAUAGGUGGAGAUGAGUCCAUCGGUAUUUGGCUGGCGUAUUGUGAAGUGAAGGGAGGAUAUGGUUUUUGAGAGGGAAAUUUUGGAGAGGUACUAUUGGGUUUCAAUUUGGGGAUUGUCGGGGAGAAAGAGUGAAGACGGGUUAGUUGCUUUAUUAACGUUUUUUCCCCAUUUCACAUUGACCUUGUAAAGGAUUUAUAAGAACUCUCCCUGUACGCUAAGCGCCAUUGUAAACGCUAUCCUCUAACUUGCUUACUAUAAGAUUUCUAAAUGUUUUACAUUCCAAAUGCUUCAGAUAUGAUAUAUCUUUU